rfam:Oryza sativa Japonica Group DNA, chromosome 8, cultivar: Nipponbare, complete sequence.
AAUAAGUGCAGUUUUGCACUAUUCACGUGUUCAACGAUUGACCGUUCGUCUUAUUUAAAAUUUUUUUAUGAUUAGUAUUUUCAUUGCUAUUAGAUGAUAAAAUAUGAAUAGUACUUUAUGUGUGACUAAAUAUUUUUAAUUUUUUCACAAAUUUUUCAAAUAAGACGGACGGUCAAACGUUAGGUACAGAUAUCCACAGCUAUACUUAUU